rnacentral:lncRNA from 1 species
GGCUGAUGAGAGCAGCAUAAUAAGUUUACCCUUUGUCUUUUUCUCGCUGGCUUUCUCUUUUUAUUUAAAAUAAUGUCCGUGUCCUCAUUCGAAAAAGAAAAAUUCCAGAAUUCAUAAUCUUCUAUAAAAUCAUCUUCUAUUAGAUUAUCUUGAAUUUUUAUAGUCGGUUCUUCUUGUAGUUGUAACCACUCGUGGUCUAUAGACGAAUACGUUGCUUCGAAUUCU